rnacentral:rRNA from 1 species
UGCUCAGAACGAACGCUGGCGGCAGGCUUAACACAUGCAAGUCGAGCGCCCCGCAAGGGGAGCGGCAGACGGGUGAGUAACGCGUGGGAAUCUACCCUUUUCUACGGAAUAACGCAGGGAAACUUGUGCUAAUACCGUAUGAGCCCUUCGGGGGAAAGAUUUAUCGGGAAAGGAUGAGCCCGCGUUGGAUUAGCUAGUUGGUGGGGUAAAGGCCUACCAAGGCGACGAUCCAUAGCUGGUCUGAGAGGAUGAUCAGCCACAUUGGGACUGAGACACGGCCCAAACUCCUACGGGAGGCAGCAGUGGGGAAUAUUGGACAAUGGGCGCAAGCCUGAUCCAGCCAUGCCGCGUGAGUGAUGAAGGCCCUAGGGUUGUAAAGCUCUUUCACCGGUGAAGAUAAUGACGGUAACCGGAGAAGAAGCCCCGGCUAACUUCGUGCCAGCAGCCGCGGUAAUACGAAGGGGGCUAGCGUUGUUCGGAAUUACUGGGCGUAAAGCGCACGUAGGCGGAUUGUUAAGUGAGGGGUGAAAUCCCAGGGCUCAACCCUGGAACUGCCUUUCAUACUGGCAAUCUAGAGUCCAGAAGAGGUGAGUGGAAUUCCGAGUGUAGAGGUGAAAUUCGUAGAUAUUCGGAGGGAACACCAGUGGCGGAAAGGCGGCUCACUGGUCUGGAACUGACGCUGA